rnacentral:lncRNA from 1 species
AUGGCUGAACCCUUCAGACAGAAAUGGUACAAAACCAAACCCGAGUUUCUCCUCCUCAGAUCUAACUCAUCAAGAAUAGAUGCCCUAGGGGAACAGAAGAUUGAGCAUGCUGCCCUUUGGCCAUUGGCACUAAUUGUCCAACUCAAUAGGGAGGACAAAAGAUGAAGUGGGGAGUCCAUGCCCAUCUCAGCCUAGGGGCAGGUCUACAGCACGAUUAACCUCCCAGAUAUCACUUGACCAGAUAAUGCUUGGACCUGGGACAGAAUGCAAUACCAAUCCACCAUGCCAGCCAUCCCAACAGAGGCAUCUUGGUGUCAGCAUUGCUGUGACCCAGAAAUGAGGAGAGGGUGAUGGGGAAUUCACCAACCUGGGGAAUUCAACGCUGCAGGUAGUGAAACACCUUCUAAACCAGAAGAGGUUCCUCUGUGUUCCAAUAUUAUUGAUGGUAAA